rnacentral:rRNA from 1 species
UACGAAGGGGGCUAGCGUUGCUCGGAAUUACUGGGCGUAAAGCGCACGUAGGCGGUCUUUUUAAGUCGGGGGUGAAAUCCUGGAGCUCAACUCCAGAACUGCCUUCGAUACUGGAAGACUUGAGUCCGGGAGAGGUGAGUGGAACUGCGAGUGUAGAGGUGAAAUUCGUAGAUAUUCGCAAGAACACCAGUGGCGAAGGCGGCUCACUGGCCCGAUACUGACGCUGAGGUGCGAAAGCGUGGGGAGCAAACAGGG